UACGAAGGGGGCUAGCGUUGUUCGGCAUUACUGGGCGUAAAGCGCACGUAGGCGGACUUUUAAGUCUGGGGUGAAAGCCCGGAGCUCAACUCCGGAACUGCCUUGGAUACUGGAAGUCUGGAGGAUGGAAGAGGUCAGUGGAAUACCGAGUGUAGAGGUGAAAUUCGUAGAUAUUCGGUGGAACACCAGUGGCGAAGGCGACUGACUGGUCCAUUUCUGACGCUGAGGCGCGAAAGUGUGGGGAGCAAACAGG
rnacentral:rRNA from 1 species